UUUUAUGGAGAGUUUGAUCCUGGCUCAGGAUGAACGCUGGCGGCGUGCCUAAUACAUGCAAGUCGAGCGAACGGACGAGAAGCUUGCUUCUCUGAUGUUAGCGGCGGACGGGUGAGUAACACGUGGAUAACCUACCUAUAAGACUGGGAUAACUUCGGGAAACCGGAGCUAAUACCGGAUAAUAUUUUGAACCGCAUGGUUCAAAAGUAAAAGACGGUCUUGCUGUCACUUAUAGAUGGAUCCGCGCUGCAUUAGCUAGUUGGUAAGGUAACGGCUUACCAAGGCAACGAUGCAUAGCCGACCUGAGAGGGUGAUCGGCCACACUGGAACUGAGACACGGUCCAGACUCCUACGGGAGGCAGCAGUAGGGAAUCUUCCGCAAUGGGCGAAAGCCUGACGGAGCAACGCCGCGUGAGUGAUGAAGGUCUUCGGAUCGUAAAACUCUGUUAUUAGGGAAGAACAUAUGUGUAAGUAACUGUGCACAUCUUGACGGUACCUAAUCAGAAAGCCACGGCUAACUACGUGCCAGCAGCCGCGGUAAUACGUAGGUGGCAAGCGUUAUCCGGAAUUAUUGGGCGUAAAGCGCGCGUAGGCGGUUUUUUAAGUCUGAUGUGAAAGCCCACGGCUCAACCGUGGAGGGUCAUUGGAAACUGGAAAACUUGAGUGCAGAAGAGGAAAGUGGAAUUCCAUGUGUAGCGGUGAAAUGCGCAGAGAUAUGGAGGAACACCAGUGGCGAAGGCGACUUUCUGGUCUGUAACUGACGCUGAUGUGCGAAAGCGUGGGGAUCAAACAGGAUUAGAUACCCUGGUAGUCCACGCCGUAAACGAUGAGUGCUAAGUGUUAGGGGGUUUCCGCCCCUUAGUGCUGCAGCUAACGCAUUAAGCACUCCGCCUGGGGAGUACGACCGCAAGGUUGAAACUCAAAGGAAUUGACGGGGACCCGCACAAGCGGUGGAGCAUGUGGUUUAAUUCGAAGCAACGCGAAGAACCUUACCAAAUCUUGACAUCCUUUGACAACUCUAGAGAUAGAGCCUUCCUCUUCGGGGGACAAAGUGACAGGUGGUGCAUGGUUGUCGUCAGCUCGUGUCGUGAGAUGUUGGGUUAAGUCCCGCAACGAGCGCAACCCUUAAGCUUAGUUGCCAUCAUUAAGUUGGGCACUCUAAGUUGACUGCCGGUGACAAACCGGAGGAAGGUGGGGAUGACGUCAAAUCAUCAUGCCCCUUAUGAUUUGGGCUACACACGUGCUACAAUGGACAAUACAAAGGGCAGCGAAACCGCGAGGUCAAGCAAAUCCCAUAAAGUUGUUCUCAGUUCGGAUUGUAGUCUGCAACUCGACUACAUGAAGCUGGAAUCGCUAGUAAUCGUAGAUCAGCAUGCUACGGUGAAUACGUUCCCGGGUCUUGUACACACCGCCCGUCACACCACGAGAGUUUGUAACACCCGAAGCCGGUGGAGUAACCUUUUAGGAGCUAGCCGUCGAAGGUGGGACAAAUGAUUGGGGUGAAGUCGUAACAAGGUAGCCGUAUCGGAAGGUGCGGCUGGAUCACCUCCUUUCUA
rnacentral:rRNA from 1 species